UACGUAGGGUGCGAGCGUUGUCCGGAAUUACUGGGCGUAAAGAGCUCGUAGGUGGUUUGUCGCGUUGUCCGUGAAAACUCACAGCUCAACUGUGGGCGUGCGGGCGAUACGGGCAGACUGGAGUACUGCAGGGGAGACUGGAAUUCCUGGUGUAGCGGUGGAAUGCGCAGAUAUCAGGAGGAACACCGGUGGCGAAGGCGGGUCUCUGGACAUUUCCUGACGCUGAGGCACGAAAGCCAGGGGAGCAAACGGG
rnacentral:rRNA from 1 species